rnacentral:piRNA from 1 species
UGGUGACUGUGUAGCUAGAGGAAGGCCUA